rnacentral:rRNA from 1 species
UACGAAGGGUGCAAGCGUUACUCGGAAUUACUGGGCGUAAAGCGUGCGUAGGUGGUCUGUUAAGUCUGAUGUGAAAGCCCUGGGCUCAACCUGGGAAUUGCAUUGGAUACUGGCAGGCUAGAGUGCGGUAGAGGAUGGCGGAAUUCCCGGUGUAGCAGUGAAAUGCGUAGAGAUCGGGAGGAACAUCUGUGGCGAAGGCGGCCAUCUGGACCAGCACUGACACUGAGGCACGAAAGCGUGGGGAGUAAACAGG